rnacentral:rRNA from 1 species
UAGGGAAUCUUCCGCAAUGGACGAAAGUCUGACGGAGCAACGCCGCGUGAGUGAAGAAGGAUUUCGGUUCGUAAAACUCUGUUGUUAGGGAAGAAAAAAUGUAUAGUAAAUAUAUACAAAAGAGACGGUACCUAACCAGAAAGCCACGGCUAACUACGUGCCAGCAGCCGCGGUAAUACGUAGGUGGCAAGCGUUGUCCGGAAUUAUUGGGCGUAAAGCGCGCGCAGGUGGUUUAGAAAGUCUGAUGUGAAAGCCCACGGCUCAACCGUGGAGGGUCAUUGGAAACUAAUAAACUUGAGUGCAGGAGAGAAAAGUGGAAUUCCUAGUGUAGCGGUGAAAUGCGUAGAGAUUAGGAGGAACACCGGUGGCGAAAGCGGCUUUUUGGCCUGCAACUGACACUGAGGCACGAAAGCGUGGGUAGCAAACAGG